CAAUACUCAGCCUUGUUUCAGGGUAGUAAGUUGGUGGUUUGAAGAUAUCCCUCUAGUGGUGUGGGGGCUGUGCUUUGGCAAAAUGAGUGGGGUUAUAUCCUGCCUGUUUGGCCCUGUCUGGUGGUAUCAUCAGACUGUCUCGGCCUCCAAUAUUUAUGCUGCAAUAGUUUGUGUUACGGGGCUAGAGUCAGUCUGUUUUGUCUGGAGUAUUUCUCCUAUCGUAUCUGGUGUCCUGUGUGAAUUUAAAUAUGCUCCUUCUAUUUAUCUCUCUCUCCCUCCUCUUACGGAGGACCUGAGACCAUUCCUCAGGACUACCUGGCCUCCUCAGGACUACCUGGCCUCCUCAGGACUACCUGGCCUCCUCAGGACUACCUGGCCUCCUCAGGACUACCUGGUCAUGCUGCUGCUCCAGUUUAAAAACUUUUCUGCCUGUGGCUAUGGAACCCUGACCUGUUCACCAGAUGUGCUACUUUGUCCCAGACCUGCUGUUUUCGAAUCUCUCUCUCUCUCUACUCCACCUGCUGUCUCUAACUCUGAAUUCUCAGCUAUGAAAAGCCAACUGACAUUUUCUCCUGAGGAGGGGACCUGUUGCAUGCUGAAGAAAGCAUUUGCCAAAUCGAUAACGGAAAACCAUUUUGUCAACGCUGGCACAGCAGAUAGAAUCGUAAUGGGGUUAGGCACAAUAGGAGCCCUUCCAUAAACUGCAUUGUUAGGUCUAAGAUCUUGAACAAAAUGCCAAUCACCCGAGGCCUUCCGGAUGAGAAGGGUGGGGGUGUUACAGAGACAGCCUGUACAAGGCACUCCUCUUUAUACCAAUCAUGCAUUUACAGGGGUAAUUCCCCCAACAGCCUCCUGACUCAGCGGAUAUUGGGCACGGCUGGGUCUGUGUUUGCCUUUUGGUGUGACUGUGAGCGUUUCCACCCCCUUCAUUUGCCCAAUGUCAUGCUUAUCUUUAGCCCACAAAGAUUUUGUGAGACCAGCCAACAACGGUGACUCAAUCUCAACAGAAACCAUCUUUAGUUGGAUUCACAUCAAGGCCAUGGACGCCUCAUUCAACAACAGGUGCAUUCCAAAAGAUUGGCACACAAUGCAUGUGUGCUCGGGGAGAAUUUAGACACAUCCACCCUAAUUUCAGUCAGUAACCUGCAACACAGACUUCAGCCAAACACCAGUAUCUUCCCAGGCAACGUCAUCGGUCUUAGCUAUUGAAACGUGGUGCCCUGGCACAAAAAAAUAUUAAAUAAUGCCUGUUCCUUUAUCGUUACACUAAGAGCACAAAAUUGGGGCUCACUGUACAUAUCACUGCAUAAUAAGCUUUCUAGGGGUGUGGUUUCUUUCAGCCAAUUUUGUUCAUAGUACAAAUCUGUUGUCAAUGGUGGGAAAUGGACGGUGCAAUGUAAGUCAGUCUGUGGCAUAGAACUGUCUGUUUCCAACAACUGCGUGCAGUUUAGAAAAUCUUUGAUUGGGUCACAAUGUUAUCUGUCAAUGUCAUGUAUGUUCCAUGCAUAGUACCUGUUGAAAUCAGUUUAGACAGUGUCAUAAGAUGAUAUGUCUCCUGAGGCCUUUUCUUUAAAAAUAAUAUUUUAAUUCUCAAUUUACAGAGCAGAUCUCUUCCUGCCAAAUUUUCAGGGCAACAUGCAGAAGAUAUGAAUUGAUGUUUUCUGCAUGUGUCAUCAACUUCUACAGGUAGGGGCAUCGUGAGCAGCUCUUUCAUAGUCACUCCUGAGGCUCCCACAGUGCUGACUGAUUAAUUUGACAUGGGAGGUUUGGACAUAGAAUUAGAGUUUAUGACAGACAUUACUACCGGGCCUGCUUACCCAUGCCCGAUAGUAGUCCAUUCAGUAGUAGUCCUUCAGGAGGAUGUUGUAGUCAUCAGUGCCUGGUCUGAUGUCACUGUGUUUACGGAAACAGUUCUCAAGUCUGUGCCUGUAAUCUUCCUUCCUUACUUUUUGGCCUUUUGUGUGCAGCUAUGGACAGCUGCCCAAUCAGUCAUAGGUGGGUGAAGUUCUUUAAUAUGAUCACACAGAGAAGUCAGUUGAGUCUGAUAGCCUUCCACGUCUGCCCAUCGCAACCUCAUCUUGAUGCUGCAAAUGUGGGCGACUUCGGCUACAGAUGGUUUGUACAGCCUGACCAGUUAAGCAGGUGUGGUGAAAUCACCUGCAUCCUUGGUGGGGUCAGGGAGGUCCUUGGCAAGCUCCUUCAUCUCGUCUUGUCUCCAGGUACUCUGGAUACGGGCCUCUGGGUGCCAAUCAACAUGGCCAGGAUCAUUCGGAGCCGUUUGAGGUUGUGGAUUUGGGAACGUACCCAGGGGUGCCUGGGCAAGAGAUGUCUUGUUGGGGUCCCCUUUUGGGCCUGUUCUUGUUGUUACGGUUGAGGGGGAUGGAGAGCAAUUCAGACCUCUAGGGGUUGACAUUGAUGGUGGACUGAGUGCCCAGAGGCCAUCAACACCAGACACGGGAGUCAAUGUGGGUGGUGUGUAAAACGGAUUCUGAUUCCUCAUGGGUCGCGAGGGUUUGUUAGGGAACUGGCCCCUCCCACCAAGUCAAUCAGGUUCAGGUCAGGAUAGAUAGGCGGUGGGACCGUUGGAGCUGGGGCCGGGGCUGGAAGGGGAGGCACUGGCUGGGGAGGUGUAGGAGACAC
ensembl:lncRNA